rnacentral:rRNA from 1 species
UACGGAGGGGACUAGCGUUGUUCGGAAUUACUGGGCGUAAAGCGCACGUAGGCGGAUUUGUAAGUCAGGGGUGAAAUCCCGGGGCUCAACUUCGGAACUGCCUUUGAUACUGCAAAUCUCGAGUCCGGAAGAGGUGAGUGGAAUUCCUAGUGUAGAGGUGAAAUUCGUAGAUAUUCGGAAGAACACCAGUGGCGAAGGCGACUUACUGGACGACCGUUGACGCUGAGGUGCGAAAGCGUGGGGAGCAAACAGG